UGGGGAAUAUUGCACAAUGGAGGGAACUCUGAUGCAGCGACGCCGCGUGAGUGAUGAAGGAAUUCGUUUCGUAAAACUCUGUUCUAUGGGAAGAAAAGGACUGAACCAUAGGAGAAAGCUCCGGCUAAAUACGUGCCAGCAGCCGCGGUAAUACGUAUGGAGCGAGCGUUGUCCGGAAUUAUUGGGCGUAAAGGGUGCGCAGGCGGCUUUACAAGUUGGAUGUGAAAUAUUGUGGCUCAACCACAAACGUGCAUCCAAAACUGCAAAGCUUGAGUUAAGGAGAGGUAAGUGGAAUUCCUGGUGUAGCGGUGGAAUGCGUAGAUAUCAGGAGGAAUACCGGUGGCGAAGGCGACUUACUGGACUUAAACUGACGCUCAGGCACGAAAGCGUGGGGAGCAAACAGG
rnacentral:rRNA from 1 species